UAGCUACAGGCUUAACACAUGCAAGUCGAGGGGAAACGACAUCGAAAGCUUGCUUUUGAUGGGCGUCGACCGGCGCACGGGUGAGUAACGCGUAUCCAACCUGCCCAUCACUUGGGGAUAACCUUGCGAAAGUAAGACUAAUACCCAAUGACGUCUUUAGAAGACAUCUGAAAGGGAUUAAAGAUUUAUCGGUGAUGGAUGGGGAUGCGUCUGAUUAGCUUGUUGGCGGGGUAACGGCCCACCAAGGCGACGAUCAGUAGGGGUUCUGAGAGGAAGGUCCCCCACAUUGGAACUGAGACACGGUCCAAACUCCUACGGGAGGCAGCAGUGAGGAAUAUUGGUCAAUGGGCGAGAGCCUGAACCAGCCAAGUAGCGUGCAGGAUGACGGCCCUAUGGGUUGUAAACUGCUUUUAUAAGGGAAUAAAGUGAGUCUCGUGAGACUUUUUGCAUGUACCUUAUGAAUAAGGACCGGCUAAUUCCGUGCCAGCAGCCGCGGUAAUACGGAAGGUCCGGGCGUUAUCCGGAUUUAUUGGGUUUAAAGGGAGCGUAGGCCGGAGAUUAAGCGUGUUGUGAAAUGUAGACGCUCAACGUCUGCACUGCAGCGCGAACUGGUUUCCUUGAGUACGCACAAAGUGGGCGGAAUUCGUGGUGUAGCGGUGAAAUGCUUAGAUAUCACGAAGAACUCCGAUUGCGAAGGCAGCUCACUGGGGCGCAACUGACGCUGAAGCUCGAAAGUGCGGGUAUCGAACAGGAUUAGAUACCCUGGUAGUCCGCACGGUAAACGAUGGAUGCCCGCUGUUGGUCUGAAUAGGUCAGCGGCCAAGCGAAAGCAUUAAGCAUCCCACCUGGGGAGUACGCCGGCAACGGUGAAACUCAAAGGAAUUGACGGGGGCCCGCACAAGCGGAGGAACAUGUGGUUUAAUUCGAUGAUACGCGAGGAACCUUACCCGGGCUUGAAUUGCAGAGGAAGGAUUUGGAGACAAUGACGCCCUUCGGGGCCUCUGUGAAGGUGCUGCAUGGUUGUCGUCAGCUCGUGCCGUGAGGUGUCGGCUUAAGUGCCAUAACGAGCGCAACCCCUCUCCUUAGUUGCCAUCAGGUCAAGCUGGGCACUCUGGGGACACUGCCACCGUAAGGUGUG
rnacentral:rRNA from 1 species